UGUCAUUGGACUUACGCAGUGGUGGAAG
rnacentral:sRNA from 1 species